UCCCUGGUGGCUCAGAUGGUAAAGUGUCUGUCUGCAAUGCAGGAGACCUGGGUUCGAUCCCUGGAUUGGGAA
rnacentral:tRNA from 1 species